UACGAAGGGGGCUAGCGUUGCUCGGAUUUACUGGGCGUAAAGGGCGCGUAGGCGGACAGUUAAGUUGGGGGUGAAAUCCCGAGGCUCAACCUCGGAACUGCCUUCGAUACUGGCGAUCUUCGAGUCCGGGAGAGGUGAGUGGAACUCCGAGUGUAGAGGUGAAAUUCGUAGAUAUUCGGAAGAACACCAGUGGCGAAGGCGGCUCACUGGCCCGAUACUGACGCUGAGGUGCGAAAGCGUAGGGAGCAAACAGG
rnacentral:rRNA from 1 species